AUUUUGUAUUUCUCUCUUCCAGGUCAAAACAGACCUCAAUGUCUUACGAGGUUAAAUUGACAGUGCAAAAUGGACAGUGCAAGUUUACAGCAAAAUGUAAUUCUGUAAGAGCACUUUCUUAUACUAUAAGACUUUCACCCCUUUUUUGCCAUUCUAUUCUUUAGCAGAUCUCAAAAUCAAUAGUUAACCAUAUUUAAUAUUGUACAUUAUAAAAUUGUGCUGCAUAGGUUCACUUAAGCAUUACAACAUGAUUUUUUUUACACAUAAUACUAGAGAUUUUUUAAUAUUUACCUGCCAUAACACUGAAGAAUUAUUGUACUGGCCAGAAUUUUAAUCAGUGUAUCCCUAUUAUCUACCCAGCAGUCAAUGAUAAUGAAUGCUGAAUGAAAUAUGAGAAACACCCUUAUACAAAAGGCUAUGCAGACAUGCGCAUGUAAAGGUGAACACACCCACGUGACUUGUACAUAUUUGCUGUUGCAUCAGGUAGCCUAUUGUCAAUAUAACAUGUGCAUAUUCAUACACACAUGCAUGAUGUCUGGAUGCUAAUAAUGUAUGAUUUAGGGAGUCCUGUUCAUUCACAGAAGUAAUCUUAAGUCAACAGUACCACAGAUAGUGAGCAGAAGCCUCUAUGGAACAUACAAUAGAAUCCACCAGUGCACAAUCAUUAUAGUUCAAAGAGUGUCAGGGCGGGGACUGAGCACUCAUGACAGACAGAACAAGAGACAAAAAAAAAAAGGAGAAAAAAAAAAGAGGGUGAGUGGUAGAACCCAUGAGGGAAAGUUAACAUAGAUUAAUAGACAUACUGAGAAAGAUAUGACACUAGUACUAGUGUCAAACUGAAAUAAGACCCAAAGUGAGACAAAAAAGACAACUUCCAAAACACACAUCCACGCCUAUUCACCUGAACUCCUGCAAGUACAGACUGCUCCGAAUCUGAGGGCAAUACGUUCAGCUGUUAGUGGGAAGUAUGCAUGGUUUCUGUCUUUUCUUUUUGGAAAUCUGUUCAAUACAGUGUUCCAUUUCUCUUUUAAAACAAACAGACUUUGCCUAUCUACAAUAUCUUAUUAUUGGAUAUUUCACCAUCUGAGCUUUUAUAAGGUCAGAGCAGAUGUCAUCCAUUCAAAAUCUUCUCAGUUUUUUUUCCCUCCGGAAGGAAAGGGUGAUUACAUUAUUAACUUAGUCUAGUCCUUCCUAUCAAACCUCUUAUAUGCUUAAAAGAGAAUGAACUUUGGAGCGAUGACUGUAAAGGAGUUAUAAAACAGCAAUUUAUGAUAUGGCACUAUAGCCCCACACCUUAUUCUGUUCAGCUCAGUAAUGUAGUUUGAUUGGCGGCAAAUAUAAGUGAUUGGGAUUGGCUAUAAAUGGAAUCAUAGUGCUUGAAACUAAUGUUCUGUGUAAAAGAGCUACUGAGGAAAAAGUGAGUUGUGCCCUGAAGCUGUUUAAGUUAAAGCUGGUUUAAACAUUUCAAGAGUGUUAGAAUAUUGAGUCAACAUGUCUCACCACUGUAAUUUACACAGGGUAAUUUAAUUUAAUUUAAUUUAAUUUAAGUGUGCAUAAUUAUAAUUAUUUUGCCUCAUUUGUUGUCUGGCUAAUGGCAUAUUCAGACACUCAAAAUCCUAUACUGUAAAGGCACAGUAGCCAUUAUGUUGGACAUGUUCCCCUAAUUUUAUAAAUGUUUAAGCUCUUCCCACUCACACACACACUUCUCAAAUCAAUCACUCUUGUCCAUUCUCAUAAGUACAAUUAAGUUCUGAUCUAGGGUCAGUUGUGGUCAACAGCUAUAUCUAGUGAGUCCAGUUGGGUAGUUGACAUGAAAAGUCAAGCAGUGUCAGCAGUGUUCUGCAAUGUGACAUGGGAUAUUUAAGAGCAAAAGGCCGAUUUAAACUGUUGAAAACCUUGUGUGGCCAGUCACAGCACCUGCUUUGCUCUAUAACGAUAAUAAAUUGGCUAGUGCAUACAUUACUGGCUGAGGUACACAGAGAAACAUCACCGCGCUGAGCGCGAGCACCUGCUGUCUCAUCUCGUCUCGUGAGUGAAGAUUCGUCUCGAGCUGACACGAGCGCCCUCAGACAUGCCGCGCGCUGCGGAAAACCCAGACACCGCGCGCUCCAAUCUCAAGGAAGAUGGAGAGUUUAUGGGUGAUAUUCCGGUGGACAAAAAAAAUGCUAAAAUAAAACAUCCAUGAAAUUCA